AUUGAACGCUGGCGGCAGGCCUAACCCAUGCAAGUCGAGCGAGCGGCGGACGGGUGAGUAAUGUAUGGGGACUGCCCGAUAGAGGGGGAUAACUACUGGAAACGGUGGCUAAUACCGCAUACUGUCGGAUAACCCAUAUGGGAUUAGCUAGUAGGUAAGGUAAUGGCUUACCUAGGCGAUGAUACCUAGCUGGUCUGAGAGGAUGAUCAGCCACACGGGGACUGAGUCAAGGCCCAGAAUCCUACGGAGGCAGCAUUGGGGAUGAUUGCACCAUGGGUGCAGGCCGGAUGCAGCCAUUCCGCGUGUAUGAAGAAGGCCAUAGGGUUGUAAAGUACUUUCAGGCGGGAGGCGUUACCGACAGAAGAAGCACCGGCUAACUCCGUGCCAGCAGCCGCGGUAAUAC
rnacentral:rRNA from 1 species